UACGUAGGUGGCAAGCGUUGUCCGGAUUUACUGGGCGUAAAGAGCGCGCAGGCGGCUGAUUAAGUCGAAUGUGAAAGCCCCCGGCUCAACUGGGGAGGGUCAUUCGAUACUGAUCAACUUGAAGGCAGGAGAGGGUAGUGGAAUUCCCGGUGUAGUGGUGAAAUGCGCAGAUAUCAGGAGGAACACCAAUGGCGAAGGCAGCUCGCUGGGACGUGACUGACGCUGAGACGCGAAAGCGUGGGGAGCAAACAGG
rnacentral:rRNA from 1 species